rnacentral:rRNA from 1 species
AAUCUCCGAGGAGAAAAGCAGGGGAUCGCAAGACCUUGCGCUUUUGGAGCGGCCGAUGUCUGAUUAGCUAGUUGGUGAGGUAAAGGCUUACCAAGGCGUCGAUCAGUAGCUGGUCUGAGAGGACGACCAGCCACACUGGGACUGAGACACGGCCCAGACUCCUACGGGAGGCAGCAGUGGGGAAUUUUGGACAAUGGGGGAAACCCUGAUCCAGCCAUGCCGCGUGAGUGAAGAAGGCCUUCGGGUUGUAAAGCUCUUUCAGCCGGAACGAAACGGUCACGGUUAAUACCCGUGACUACUGACGGUACCGGAAGAAGAAG